UGCCCCAUGGCUGAGUUGGUUACAGCGUCCGACUGUUAAUAGACAAUCGGAAGGUCGUGAGUUCGAGCCUCACUGGGGCAG
rfam:Coniophora puteana RWD-64-598 SS2 unplaced genomic scaffold CONPTscaffold_17, whole genome shotgun sequence.